rnacentral:snRNA from 1 species
CCCGCUGUUUACUUUAUUUCUGAGAAAACCGUAUCUGUUCUUAUCAGUGUAAUAUCUGAUACGUCCCCUAUCUGGGGACCAUAUAUUAAAUGGAUUUUUGGAACAGGGAGAUGGAAGAAAAGCUUGCUCUGUCCACUCCACGCAUCGACCUGGUAUUGCAGUACCUCCAGGACUGGUGCACCUCUC